rnacentral:ncRNA from 1 species
CCGCUGAGUUUAAGCAUAUAAUUAAGCGGAGGAAAAGAAACUUACAAGGAUUCCCCUAGUAAGGGCGAGCGAACCGGGAAGAGCCCAGCAUGAAAAUCGGGUGGCAGCAUCGCCUGAAUAUUAGUCUGUAGAAGCGUCGUUAGCAGCAGACCGGGCCCAAGUCCCCUGGAAGGGGGCGCCUGAGAGGGUGACAGCCUCGUCGGGCCUGGACCCUGCUGCACCACGAGGCGUUGUCGGCGAGUUGGGUUGUUUGGGAAUGCAGCCCUAAUCGGGUGGUAAAUUCUAUCCAAGGCUAAAUACGGGCGAGAGACCGAUAGAAAACAAGUACCGCGAGGGAAAGAUGAAAAGGACUUUGAAAAGAGAGUUAAAUAGUGCUUGAAAUUUCUUGGAGGGAAGCGGAUGGAGGCCGGCGAUGCGUCUCGGUCGGAUGCGGAACGGCUCAAGCUGGUCCGCCACUCGACUCGAGGGGCGGACCAGCACAGGCCAUUGCAUCGGCACAAGCGCGGGUGGAGUACUGCUUAUUGGUUUUCCAUUGUGGUGGUCGAGGAACGAAGCAUGCGCCCUUGGGGCGGGCCACUGUGCACCUGCACGCUCGUGGUGUUGGUUGGCGGGCUUUCCAUUCGACUCGUCUUGAAACACAGACCAAGGAGUCUAACAUGUGUGCGAGUCGGUGGGUUUGUAAACCUGUGAGGCGUAAGGAAGCUGACGGGUGAGAACCCCUCUCCAUGGGGUGCAUUGUCGACCGACCUUGAGCUUGUGCGAAGGGUUCGAGUGCGAGCACACCUGUUGGGACCCG